GAUGCACUUCAACGUGGCAGAAAGAGGCAGAGUGUCUAAAAAGGUUUCGAUACAUUUGAUACACGUCCCUAUAUGUGCUUCUUUGUACUGCGCAUGCGCGACGUAAAACUACCUCGUGCCUCAUAUAGCUCCUAGCUGAUCGUUCCUAAACUCGUGUGGAGUGUGUGAGGAUGAAAUUGAGACAGGGCCAGAGCGGGGCGCGUGACACCGCGCAUGCGCGAUGCAAAAAUAGCACGUAGAGUAACAGCUGAUGUGUGUUUUAUUUCCGUUGUUGGGCUUCAAAUGAGAUGCCUGAACUCCUGAAAUCCUCCUGUACCAGAUGCACACUUCAGUAGAUAGGGUGGAGCUUCAGCGGUUCACAACAUAGUGUGUGUGGAGGGUUAAAAGACUGAACCAUGAAGUUGAUAGUGGAUGUAGUGUGGAUGAUAUGGGGCAUCGGUGCAUCUGUGUACGAUUACUUCCACACCAGCGCCAUGGAGGAGAGGAUCCACACUCUGGAGAACGUCCUCACCAUCCACCAGUUUCUCAUAGUGUUCCUCUCAGCAAGCCUCGUUCUGCUUAUCUCCUACAUCGUCUUUAAGAAGAAAUGACACGCCAGAAACCUCGGAAACCUGGGAGCCUCGAGGAACCAUGAGACAAUCACUCUGCUCCUCAGUUAAUGAGGAUGACUGUAUAGAUAGAUGAACGGUUGUGUCAGAUUGUCUGACCAUAUCAAAUGUAGCUAUCAAACAUUGACAAGGUUUACGAUAUUUUGUAUUUAAAGAAAUACACCAUUUCUAACAUGUUGUUCUACAGAGACAGUUUUGUCUACCAUGUUUCUCUUGUCAUGACCUGUGGAAUUAUGGGAUUACCACAUAACUGUGCACUCAAUAUCACACCAUACAACAGAUUACCAGAACUCUCAAAAACUUGUUUUUCUUCCUCAAACCGAGUUCAAGUACGUUUUUUUUAGUACUCAUCAAUACAGAUACAGUAAUGAUUAACCUACUUAGAAUAUUAAUCAUGCUAAGUAGAUUAGCAUGCCACAAAUAAGAUGUUAUGGCGCUUAAAUGGUUUCAUUAAUAGAUGGUGUGAGGGUGGCCAUCUUGAGGAAGCUGACGUUGCUCAAUGCUUGUCAUGUGCAACAGUUUCUCUUUACAGCUCCACUGUUAUUUUUAAUGACCACACUGGCUGAUACUGCUCUGUACGCUCAGCUCAACACUCUAUAUUAAUAAAGAUACUGUUUAAAUGCCUUGAGA